CACACUCCUAAUCAUAUGAGCUAAAAUGUUACACAUUCAAUCAUUGAGAGAUAUAAAGAAAAAGACAUAUACAUAGAUAGAUUAUCUUUCUAUAAGGUUGAGCGAUCUGAUCUGACAAAUGUUAUAAGUGCUACACUCAUGAACUUUUCACCAUCAACUUUGUUUUGCUCACUAUGCUUAGGGUUAGAGAAAGAACAAAUACACUUUAGGUUCUGUUGGUGUUUUCCACCAACAAGACCCAUGCACUUGAUCUCUGCCUUGUCUCUAUGAGCAGGUACACUUUGAGCAAAACACGGAGGAGUUUUAUAACUCUCAGACUCUACCAAGUGAAGGACCUGGAUCUACGAGCACAAACACAUUGAGCAGGUUACUGCCAACGCCGCACUUCGAACUGCUGGGCAAACGAAGAACAUGGGUGACACCGUAUCAAGAGAUGCAGACGUCAAGGUCCGCACCUGAAUCAAAUGACGCACCUGAAGAAUGAACACGGUGAGAAGUCUUGUUAAGAAGACUUAAAACAUUGAACCCUCGCCGAAAGGUAAGAUCGGUAGUUAUCCAUAUUUAUCCUUUCUGCAUUCUCUUUUCCCUUUAAUUAUUUACUUUCCUUAAAUAGAUUAUUAGUUAAUCAUGCUAUCUUGAAAAGAAAAUAAAAAUGUUAAAAAAUACUAAGCCCUAUGUGUGUAUACGAGUGGCAUAAAACCCAUAAGUACCUUCACUGUGGUGGCAUAAAAAUAAAAUAAAUAUUUCUUUUCUACUUUAUAAAAUAAAAAUAUAAAAACAGGGAGUAAUAAUUAUUGAGGAAGCUCAACAUGAUGAAGGCUAGAUAUUUAUGCUAACACUUAAUUAGUUCCUCAAGCUUUGUUGUCUGUUUGAGCUCCAUAGAAUUUAAGAAUCAAGAAGACUAGCAGACGGAGGAUAUUCUAAUCGCUGUCAAAAUGCUGCUGACUUUCAAAUACACCUCUGCCACCUGCUAGCUACAUCAAGAGAAAUUACGUCAAAAAUCAGCUUGUGGGAGAGCACCUCCAUUUAUCUCGCUAAGUAUUUCUACCUAUAUUUAUACUUAUAUUAUAUUAGAAUAUUAAAAUAAAUAAAGUGGCUAUGCUAAUCUGAAUCUUAAUAAAGAUUUUGUAAAUUUGAAGUUCUUAUAUACUAUGAAAAACCAAAUAAAGAUUUUGUGCUUAUAUAUAUCUUUUGCUUAGUGUGUUUAAUAAAUAAAUAAAGUGGCUAUGCUAAUCUAAAUCUUAAUAAUAAAACUCUAGCAUGGAUAUGAUGAAUAGUUGCUCUGCCUAAUUUGUAAAUUUGAAGUUCUCUCUCAAGUUUAGACAUAACUGUUAUAAUUUAAAGCUUGCUCUAGAUCUAAACUUGUGGGAUAAAAACUUGAUCUGAAAUCUAAGUUGUUAACGGAUAUGAUAUGGGAAGGUUGAGCUGCUGUUUAUAUGUUCCUAGAGAUGCUAGAAUUCUGGAGAAUUUUAUCUUUGAAAAAUCUUUAAAAUAUUGCAUGAUGAGUUCCUGUAUGACGAAAGUUUAAAUUCCUACCACAGCCAUAUAUACAUGCUUGCUAGACUUUGAGCCACACAUUUACUAUUUACUGCUUAUGAGCAUUGAGUGUAGUCAAGCUGUGUAGACCCUUAGGAGCUUGUCAUGUGGUUAAAUCAAGAUUUCACUUGCACAUUCACUUAUAUAUGCAACUUCUACUACGGAAGUACCAUCCACAUAUAUCCACUCAUUUCCAUCUCCAGAACCACCCAAAAAUAUUCUACUCCUAAUCCGGGAGAGAAUAACCAAAAAUAUUUCUGUUUUUCCUCGUGAAAUAAAUGCUCAAGUUAUCUUAUUACUACCACUUACUAUAUUAUCUCAUGAGAUGAGUGCUCUAAAAAAAGGAGAGAAAAAAUAUACGAGGAAAUAAAAAGGGGCAAGUGCCCGGAACCUCGAAAGAAAAGAAAAAGAGUGAGACGAGAGGUAAAAAUGGACAAGUGUCCGACAGUAGAAUUAGGGGUACAGGAUACCCACCUGAGAGGAAAGAAAAAAAUGAAAGAUAGAGCAUCUCAUUCUCCUCAUAAAGUUUCAAAAAGCAAGGAAGGUAUGUAUCCCCUCAAAAGAGCAAAAGUAGAAUUAGACUUCCACCAUUGUUAUCACCAUCAUCACCAUACACCAUUCAUUCGCCACACAUGCACAUCUUGAUUUGAUUUAUUGACUUGUUUCUCUGGAUCCAUGGUUUGACUAUGCAAUAAAUGUCUUGUAUGUAUGUAUUAGCUGUCUCCCACCUAUGAGCUCUAGAUAAUAAAGCCUUACACUACAAGAAGGUUGAGGCUUUUUAACAUUCUAUUAUGUCACAAUAUAUAGAAUUUACGUCAUUACUUUAAUUUUUUGACGUCCAGAUGAC
rnacentral:lncRNA from 1 species